rnacentral:rRNA from 1 species
UACAGAGGUCUCAAGCGUUGUUCGGAUUCAUUGGGCGUAAAGGGUGCGUAGGUGGCGAGGCAAGUCUGGUGUGAAAUCCCGGGGCUCAACCCCCGGAACUGCACUGGAUACUGCCUUGCUUGAGCACUGGAGAGGGAACUGGAAUUUACGGUGUAGCAGUGAAAUGCGUAGAUAUCGUAAGGAAGACCAGUGGCGAAGGCGAGUUCCUGGACAGUUGCUGACACUGAGGCACGAAGGCUAGGGGAGCAAACGGG